rnacentral:misc_RNA from 1 species
UACGGAGGAUCCUAGCGUUGUCCGGAUUUACUGGGUUUAAAGGGUGCGUAGGCGGAUUAUUAAGUCAGCGGUGAAAGUUUGCAGCUUAACUGUAAAAUUGCCAUUGAAACUGAUAGUCUCGAGUACAGUUGAGGUGGAUGGAAUGUGCCAUGUAGCGGUGAAAUGCUUAGAUAUGAUACAGAACACCGAUUGCGAAGGCAGUUCACUAAACUGUAACUGACGCUGAGGCACGAAAGCGUGGGGAUCAAACAGG